rnacentral:rRNA from 1 species
CCCANAUUCUAACGGNAGCCAGCNAUUAGGGAUNUUUCACCAUGGCGAAANCCUGAUGGACCAUNCCGCGUUCCAGGACGAGCCCUUCGGGGUUGUAAACUGCUUUUAUAAGCGAGGAAUAUGACGGUAACUUAUGAAUAAGGGAUCGGCUAAUUACGUGCCAGCAGCCGCGUUCAUACGUAGGAUCCGAGCAUUAUCCGGAGUGACUGGGUGUAAAGAGUUGCGUAGGUGGCGUUCUUAAGUAGCUAGUGAAAUCUGGUGGCUCAACCAUUCAGACUGUUAGCUAAACUGAGAUGCUCGAGAGCGUCAAGGGUAACUGGAAUUUCUAGUGUAGGAGUGAAAUCCGUAGAUAUUAGAAGGAACACCGAUAGCGUAGGCAGGUUACUGGGGCGUUUCUGACACUAAGGCACGAAAGCGUAGGGAGCAAACGGGAUUAGAUACCCCGGUAGUCUACGCCGUAAACGAUGGAUACUAGCUGUGGGGGGUAUCGACCCCUUNCCGUAGCGAAGCUAACGCGUUAAGUAUCCCACCUGUGUAGUACGAUCGCAAGAUA